CCUACGGGUGGCAGCAGUGGGGAAUAUUGGGCAAUGGGCGCAAGCCUGACCCAGCAACGCCGCGUGAAGGAAGAAGGCUUUCGGGUUGUAAACUUCUUUUGUCAGGGACGAAGCAAGUGACGGUACCUGACGAAUAAGCCACGGCUAACUACGUGCCAGCAGCCGCGGUAAUACGUAGGUGGCAAGCGUUAUCCGGAUUUACUGGGUGAAAAGGGCGGGUAGGCGGGACUGCAAGUCAGAUGUGAAACCCACGGGCUCAACCUGUGGCCUGUAUUUGAAACUGUAGUUCUUGAGUACUGGGAGGGCAGACGGAAUUCCUGGUGUAGCGGUGAAAUGGGUAGAUAUUAGGAGGAACACCAGUGGCGAAGGCAGUCUGCUGGACAGCAACUGACGCUGAGGCGCGAAAGCGUGGGGAGCAAACAGGAUUAGAUACCCUUUAGUC
rnacentral:rRNA from 1 species